rnacentral:lncRNA from 1 species
AAAGGCUUAGUUAGGUCCAACCAUUAACAUGGCCACACCAUAUGCUUCUAACUAAUGAAUGAUCAGGCCCGAGUGUGGCUCGGCCAACUUGCCCAUCCAUCUGAAAGACACAAUAAGGGCAUCAUAUCAUGGAUGACAAUUCCAAUAUCCAGAUAAACACCAGGCGUGUGAUGCUUCCAAUGUUUAUCUAGACUAUUGGACCUAUUACCAUCCACCUUAGUGGA